rnacentral:rRNA from 3 species
AACCCAGUGUGACUCGUCACACUAUCAUUAACUGAAUCCAUAGGUUAAUGAGGCGAACCGGGGGAACUGAAACAUCUAAGUACCCCGAGGAAAAGAAAUCAACCGAGAUUCCCCCAGUAGCGGCGAGCGAACGGGGAGGAGCCCAGAGCCUGAAUCAGCAUGUGUGUUAGUGGAAGCGUCUGGAAAGGCGCGCGAUACAGGGUGACAGCCCCGUACACAAAAGCGCAUGUGCUGUGAGCUCGAUGAGUAGGGCGGGACACGUGGUAUCCUGUCUGAAUAUGGGGGGACCAUCCUCCAAGGCUAAAUACUCCUGACUGACCGAUAGUGAACCAGUACCGUGAGGGAAAGGCGAAAAGAACCCCGGCGAGGGGAGUGAAAAAGAACCUGAAACCGUGUACGUACAAGCAGUGGGAGCCCCACCACCAAAGCAUUUGCUGUACCGCGUUGACGGAGCGAAGCGACGUCAAACCGAUAAAACAGCAGUGUAAAGUGAGCCGCAGGGCGCUUUGCGCGACAGCGCAAAGGCAGGCGGUUUCGCGUAGCGAAAGCGAAUGCUUUGGGGUGGGGUGACUGCGUACCUUUUGUAUAAUGGGUCAGCGACUUAUAUUCUGUAGCAAGGUUAACCGAAUAGGGGAGCCGGAGGGAAACCGAGUCUUAAUUGGGCGUUAAGUUGCAGGGUAUAGACCCGAAACCCGGUGAUCUAGCCAUGGGCAGGUUGAAGGUUGGGUAACACUAACUGGAGGACCGAACCGACUAAUGUUGAAAAAUUAGCGGAUGACCUGUGGCUGGGGGUGAAAGGCCAAUCAAACCGGGAGAUAGCUGGUUCUCCCCGAAAGCUAUUUAGGUAGCGCCUCGUGAAUUCAUCUCCGGGGGUAGAGCACUGUUUCGGCUAGGGGGCCAUCCCGGCUUACCAACCCGAUGCAAACUGCGAAUACCGGAGAAUGUUAUCACGGGAGACACACGGCGGGUGCUAACGUCCGUCGUGAAGAGGGAAACAACCCAGACCGCCAGCUAAGGUCCCAAAGUCAUGGUUAAGUGGGAAACGAUGUGGGAAGGCCCAGACAGCCAGGAUGUUGGCUUAGAAGCAGCCAUCAUUUAAAGAAAGCGUAAUAGCUCACUGGUCGAGUCGGCCUGCGCGGAAGAUGUAACGGGGCUAAACCAUGCACCGAAGCUGCGGCAGCGACACUGUGUGUUGUUGGGUAGGGGAGCGUUCUGUAAGCCUGUGAAGGUGUGUCGUGAGGCAUGCUGGAGGUAUCAGAAGUGCGAAUGCUGACAUAAGUAACGAUAAAGCGGGUGAAAAGCCCGCUCGCCGGAAGACCAAGGGUUCCUGUCCAACGUUAAUCGGGGCAGGGUGAGUCGACCCCUAAGGCGAGGCCGAAAGGCGUAGUCGAUGGGAAACGGGUUAAUAUUCCCGUACUUGGUGUUACUGCGAAGGGGGGACGGAGAAGGCUAUGUUGGCCGGG